ensembl:lncRNA
GGGCUACAGCCUUUUUAUCCUACCUAGCAAUUAUCUGUUUGUGGGCUUCAUGGAACUAAUUUCUCUUUCCACCUCUCACCCCCAGUCUCAUACAAUGGAUAAGACUUCAAAGCAAAUGCUUUUUGUCCUUUGACCAUGCAAUUUUCUUCAACAGCCUCAUACAGGGUAAAGGAUAAAUAAGGAAUUCAUCAGAGAUAAUAUCAGAAGACUGAAAGCAGAAACCUCAUUUUCAUGUAAGAUUUUCUUCCUCAAACAGUGUGGCAGCAACUUGGCAUACAGUUACAGCAGGAGGCAAGGAGGGGACACAUGUCUGUUUGCAGCAUGCUGGCCUGUUGUUGGAUAGGCACAUCCCAUAUUUCUGUUCAUAGAGGUGGGGUAAGAAAAAAAGACAUUACUUGAGCUUCUU